rnacentral:rRNA from 1 species
AGACGUAGGGGGCAAGCGUUGUCCGGAAUUACUGGGCGUAAAGGGUGCGUAGGCGGAUAUUUAAGUCAGAUGUGAAAUUCCCGGGCUCAACCUGGGAAGUGCAUUUGAAACUGGGUAUCUAGAGUGCAGGAGAGGGAAGCGGAAUUCCUAGUGUAGCGGUGAAAUGCGUAGAUAUUAGGAAGAACACCAGUGGCGAAGGCGGCUUCCUGGACUGUAACUGACGCUGAGGCACGAAAGCGUGGGGAGC